rnacentral:rRNA from 1 species
GUGCCUAAUACAUGCAAGUCGAGCGAACAGAUAAGGAGCUUGCUCCUUUGACGUUAGCGGCGGACGGGUGAGUAACACGUGGGUAACCUACCUAUAAGACUGGGAUAACUUCGGGAAACCGGAGCUAAUACCGGAUAACAUUUGGAACCGCAUGGUUCUAAAGUGAAAGAUGGUUUUGCUAUCACUUAUAGAUGGACCCGCGCCGUAUUAGCUAGUUGGUAAGGUAACGGCUUACCAAGGCAACGAUACGUAGCCGACCUGAGAGGGUGAUCGGCCACACUGGAACUGAGACACGGUCCAGACUCCUACGGGAGGCAGCAGUAGGGAAUCUUCCGCAAUGGGCGAAAGCCUGACGGAGCAACGCCGCGUGAGUGAUGAAGGGUUUCGGCUCGUAAAACUCUGUUAUUAGGGAAGAACAAACGUGUAAGUAACUAUGCACGUCUUGACGGUACCUAAUCAGAAAGCCACGGCUAACUACGUGCCAGCAGCCGCGGUAAUACGUAGGUGGCAAGCGUUAUCCGGAAUUAUUGGGCGUAAAGCGCGCGUAGGCGGUUUCUUAAGUCUGAUGUGAAAGCCCACGGCUCAACCGUGGAGGGUCAUUGGAAACUGGGAAACUUGAGUGCAGAAGAGGAAAGUGGAAUUCCAUGUGUAGCCGUGAAAUGCGCAGAGAUAUGGAGGAACACCAGUGGCGAAGGCGACUUUCUGGUCUGUAACUGACGCUGAUGUGCGAAAGCGUGGGGAUCAAACAGGAUUAGAUACCCUGGUAGUCCACGCCGUAAACGAUGAGUGCUAAGUGUUAGGGGGUUUCCGCCCCUUAGUGCUGCAGCUAACGCAUUAAGCACUCCGCCUGGGGAGUACGACCGCAAGGUUGAAACUCAAAGGAAUUGACGG